GUACCGGCAGCGUGUCAUUUCAUCUUAGUCUAGAAGUAGAGAUGCCAUUUGGUAUGGAUAAGCUUUUGGAGUCAGGCAGCAUCUUUGGAAGGAAGGAGACAGUCAAGGGAAACUGAAGAGUGACUACAAGGUUUUCGUCUCAUAGAGGCGGUUAAGGUAGCUGGACAGUACUGGACCCAUCACAAUUUCAAUACUGGGAAGAGAAAAGCCAGUCCUCUGGGGAAAGAUGAAGCACUGGACCUACAAACUAACUACUUUCAACCCCUGGAUGAAUCUAGGAGAUUAGUCCCGAUAUCAAGGCAAUGUCAAGAGUGAAGGGGAGGAUCAAGAUUUUUUUUGAGUGAUUGUUUCCUGGAAGGAGUAUUAAAGAGAGGCACAGAAGAAUGCUUCUGCAUAGGACAUGAAAACAUACUUGGUAAUCAGCGAUCAUGUGGUAGCAGCCACACUGUUUAAGAUCAUGGAUCAGAAAUGUCUUUAAGAUGUCAAACAAAUGAAAAACAAAAACAAACAUUUCAUGGUCAUGGACAGGAAAAUCAAUAUUGUUAAAAUGGCCAUACACCCCAAAGCAAUUUAUACAUUCAGUGCUAUUCCUACCAAUGGCAUUUCUCACGGAAUUAGGAAACACAAUUUUAAAAUUCAUAUGGUACCAAACAAGAGCCUGAAUAACCAAAGCAAUCCUAAGCAAAAAGAAGAAAGCUGAAAGUAUCACACUACCCAACUUCAAACUAUACUACAAGACUACAGUAACCAAAACAGCAUGGUACUGUUACAGAACUAGACACAUAGACCAAUGGAACAGAACAGGGAAUUAACUCCCUAUUCAAUAAAUGGUG
rnacentral:lncRNA from 1 species